rnacentral:rRNA from 1 species
AUUAUUGGGCGMUAAAGGGUCCGCAGGCGGUCAGUUAAGCGAGAGGUGAAAGCCCAUAGCUCAACYAGGAACUGCCUUUGAAACUGGCAGACUAGAGUGAUACGGAGGGAGAUAGAAUAAGAGGUGUAGCGGUGAAAUGCAUAGAGAUCACAAAGAAUACCGAUGGCGAAGGCAGCCUACUGGGUAUAUACUGACGCUCAUGGACGAAAGCGUGGGGAGCAAACAGGAUUAGAUACCCUGGUAGUCCACGCCGUAAACGAUGGAYACUAGAAUGCUCGGGAUCUUGCUGCGUACAUUGACUAUACACAGAGACAUGAUAGCAGUCAUGUAGAUGCACACGACCUGCGCGUGAGGUGACGUAUCCGGCACG